ensembl:lncRNA
GGGGGGGGGGGAUCAGAGGAGCUCCCCCCAGGGAUGCCCUCAGCCACAGGACGCAUACUCUGUUGGCUGAGGGCUGCAGGUGGUGGACCCCCUCCAGUCUGACGGGCCUCUGCAUUUCGAUUUGCUAACAUGGAGGAAAAUGUUACCCUAAUAUUCAGUAAGCGCUAUUUUGAAGACAUAUAUAUAUAUAUAUAUAUAUAUAUAUAUAUAAUGCAUUUUGCCUAGGUGUAGCCUUCUAAUAUAUCUAAAUCCUAUUAAAUAUUGGCAGUGUUGGGGUGGCUGGGAAAUGUACUACUUACAUUUACUGCUUAAAUAUAGUAUACAAAUAUAUAAUACAUGUUGAACAUAGCUGUUAAAUUAGGUAGAGCAGGCAAAACAGCACAAUUGAUUUGAUUUCAAUUAAACAUUAGUUUACCUGUUUAAACUAUAUUUUUGUACUUCAUUUGCUCAUUUGCACACACACACACACACACACACACACACACACACACACACACACACACACACACACACACACACACACACACACACACACACACACACACAAUUUACAUAUUGAAUAAGUGGAAGAUAUUAAACUUUCCUCUUAUUUUAUUUUAUUUUACUAAUUUAUUUUACUCUUCAUUCAUUUUUAUGAAUGCUUUUAUCCAUAUGCUUAUUGUUGUAGGCCUAUUGUUGACAAUGACCUGUAUUUCCUAUGAGACCCACAAAGGUGAAUGCCGUCUCAGUAUUAGGGGGACGCGUUGUUGUUUAUCUCCACUAUGGAGUUUUUCCACUUCGGUCGGUGCUGUUGAUGAUUUUCCUACUUUGACUAUAGCCGUUUCUCAAUUCCUAGCACGCGUACUACGGACUCGAUGACUUGCAAGCACGUACUUGGCAAGUCCGUACUUCAAGCACAGACUUGCGAGCACGCGAGUACGUACCUGCAAUUGGAACAGCAGCGGACUCGAUGACGUCACCACCUCUGCUCGUCUGUUAACUGUGCUACGGCCUCAUUUAGACAUAUACUACUGAACAAUAUAAACAAAUGAUAUAAAUCAAAACCCCAGCCUCUUUCAUUUUCAAAUAGUAUGUAAAUAUUCUGAAUGAAUAAAAAUUGAAAAGAUAUGCGUGUCCUGUCAUGUGUAUGAGCUAUACACGCACGACUUUAUAUAUAUAUAUUUAUAUAUUAUCUUAUAUUAUUAUAUUAUAUAUUAUAUAAAUAUAUAUAUAAGUUAAGAGUAACUUAAGCUACAGUUGUGCGUCUUCUCCAUAUUGUCCGCCAUCGUACUGUUGAGAGUGCGAAAUGCAUCCUGGGAUUUAUGCAUGCUUGGUGAAACGGCGAGAUCGAGCACGCAUCAAGAACACUUCCGGGUUUUACGACAGUACUCGCUUGAUGUGUGCUUCAAAUUGGAACAGUGCUCGGGCAACGACUGAUGACGUUUCACGAGUCCACGAGCACACGAGCACGCAGAAGUUGAGAAUUGAGAAACGGCCUAUGUUCUCGGUGUGGUAAAUGGUGCUUAUGACUUACAAAUCUUAUUUUAUGGCCAUCUGAGAUGGCCAAGGAGGGAUUGUUACGUAUUUUAAGUACAUAAGCUGCUCCCACAUAGCCAUUAGGAAGCAUGAUCGAACACACAAGCUGCAUUACCCUCACAUAGCCACUAGGAAGCAGGAUCGAACACUUAAGCUGCAAUAACUACUCCAGCCACAGAUGGCAGCACCUUUAGACAGGGGCGGAGCCAUUACGUCACCCCGACCACGCCCACUUCACAUAUGCCACGCCCACUUGACGGGCAAGAGCGCGUGAUUCGAAGUGAAGAGGUCAGAGACUAUAGGUAACUGCGGAGAGAGGGUUCCUCCUACCUCCAGUCUGCCAUAGAGGAAGGUCACAGCGAGGAGUGGGCACGGCAGACCAUCCGCUACCUGGCUGACUGCGAGCUGCACAAAAAGAUGGCUACAUUUGUCCCCUCUGCAGCCAUAUACCCUCCUCCACCACCCUUCAGGCCCCUUCCACUCGCCCAGUGGUUUGAGACAGUCCACUCCAACGACAUCCUCAGCCACGUGGAGGAGAUGAAGGGUGUGAUCACUUCAACGUAUGGGAGAAUCCUGAAAAUGGACUCCACAAAGAAGGUGAGGGUUUCAACAGUAGAAAAAUAUACAAAAUUGUAUAAUUACAACCAAACAGGAAAUUGGUUUACUUCAUAGUGCUUGUGUUUGUUUUACAGGUCACCAAGAAGCUGGCUGGUGCAAUCGGGGACAGUGCCGCCUGGAUGUCGAACAUCGGCAACGAGUUUGGCCAGGUGUUGAACUCUGUGCUGACGACUGGUGAAGGUGCAGGGUUAGAGGAGUUGUGCCAGGGCGUCGUCACCCAGUAUAGGAAUGCGGGCCAACCUGAACCUGAGGCCAUCUAUGUUGAUCGGGACUGUUGCAGCCAGUCAGGUGUGUGAAAAUUGCUCUCUCACUCACACACAGACACACAGACACAGACACACACACACACACACACACACACACACACACACACACACACACACACACACACACACACACACACACACACACACACACACACCCACACUUACUCACUCACUAACACACACACAAACACACUGUUUGUAGCAUUUGUAUUAAAUGUAUUUAUUUAAUACCAAUGCUACUUUGGGGAGAAGUGUCAGGCAAUUGGGAGUAACCACACAAAGGUGUUGUGGUCUAUGGUAUUAAGAAUGGUUGUUUUUCACAGGUGUGUCUGCAGUGGCGAAACUCUUUCGCCCAUGGAGGUCUGCAGUGCGCCUGGAUAGCUUCCAUUUUAUGAGGCGCUUUAACUGCGGCCUCACAACCGAACACCACCCUCUCUAUGGCACCUUUUGUGCCAAGCUUUCCGCCUGCAUUUUUCUCUGGGACCAGGAGGAUGUGCAACGCCUGAAGGAGGCCAAGAGAGCGGAGUGGAAGAGCAGCCACAGCGGACAUACUCCCACUGACGACCAGCUCAUGGCCACCAUCAGCCCAGCUGAAAUGAAGAGGCACUGCAGGAGGAGGACGCGUGGAGUGGAGGAGAUGCGGAGCAGUAUUUCAGGGCUCCUGGAAUCUGUGAGGGAGCUCACAGACACCACAGGGCUGCGUCUGGUGAGCCAUGACAGCAUGCGCCACGUGUGGGAAGUACAGCAGAAGCACCUGGAGUGCCUCCAAGACCCUGCAGGUGUUGCACUUUACACGAAGGUGGGGACACUCCAGAAGGGCGGCAAGGAGCUGGACAUCCUUAGGUGUGGUAGGGGGUCCUCCUCCCUGGAGAGUUUCCACCGGCACCAGUGUGCUUUCAUUCCAGGCUGGCGGUGCAAUGCGGUGCACAUGCAAAUGUACAUGCUGGAGGGUAUAUCAAGGUGGAACAUGGGCCGGGCCAAAGAGACAGUAGAUGUGGAGGGGGCCUCCACCCUAAGAAGCUUCGAUGUUCGGUUGAUGUCCCACCUUAACAAUCUAAGCCAGCGUGUGCAUGGUUGUGCUCUGGUGCCAGAGUUCACCCUUCCUGGGAAACCUACUGGCGAACGCAUAGCCGUGGAAUAUUUAUUGGAGCAGACCAAUAGAGGCGACCUGCUGGCUCCAUCACAGGCCUCCAUCUCAGAAAUCCCCUUGCCGGUGCUGGAGGAGGAGGAGGAGGAGGAGGAGGAUGAUGCCAUCAGCAUGCCUGCCAUCAGCAUGCCUGCCAUCAGCAUGCCUGCCUCUGUCACAGAGACCAGCCAAUGUGAUUCGAGGGGCGUUCCGGGGUGGGACGCAGUAGAUGCCCUUGCUGCCUACCUACUCGCAUUAAACGGCACCAUCACGGCCUUGUCAGCCAAGGAGGAGGCGGACAUAGUUCGCCUGUACGCGGCUUUACAUGCGAUGGAUCGGAAACCUUCAAGGUACACCCAGAAGGCAAAGAAGAAAUCACAUGCGUCAGGAGGAAUGUGGAGAGCACCGAGGAAGCCGAGUGGCAUCAUUUUAUGAAAUGCUGUACAUGACUCAUGGCCAAGCAGCCCAGGACCCCGAAGUUCACAGGGUCUGUGAGUGUGUCUGCCUCAGACUCUUAAAAGAGUUUGAGCAGUCAUGCAACAGGCCAAAGGACACAAAGGGGAAAACAAUGCCCAUCCCUCAGUCCAUCGUAAGCGUGUACAGCCACAUCAAACAGCUGCUGGAGGACAGCAGGGUUGUCUGUGAUGACACAGACCUGGUUCUGGUGCCAGUAAACAACACCACAGUCUCUUCAUUGCUGCUUAGGAGGGAUAAAAGGAAGGACAGGGACAUGCUGCUGCAAGGCACUGUACUGCCCAAACAGGUGCACCUGGCAGAGGAGCCUCUCCCUGCUCUGAACACCCUUCCGGCGGCCCCUGUGCAACAUGCACAUGGGGCAAUGACAUUUGAGGAGCCUGAAAAUCACGAGGGGGAAGCUUUCCCCCGCCAGCGCACUCUAGCGGCGAACAAGCCUCCGCCAUCUCCACCUCCCCAGUUCUCUCCACAAUUUGGGCCAGCUCCUCCAUUUCCUCAUCUUCCCCCAUAUCCGCACUUUCCAUUUCCAUAUCCUCAUGCACCUCGACUUCCUCAUGCUCCUCCAUUUUACAUUUCUACUCCAUAUCCUCAUGCUCCUCCAUAUGCUCCUCCAUAUCCUCAUGCUCCUCCAUAUGCUCCUCCAUAUCCUCAUGCUCCUCCAUUUCAUGCUCCUCCACUUCCUCAAGCUCCUCCGUUUCCUAAUUCCCUAUCUCCUGAUGCUCCUCCAUCCCAGCCGAGGCAACGCGACUGGAGGCUCAAUAAAGCUGCCCAGGAGGAUGAGGAGCUUACGUCAAGGGGGGAUCCGGCACGGAAGAGGCUGAGAAAAGAAAACUACCACUAUACUUGCAAGGGGUGCGGCCAGGCCAAAAAUAAAGUCACUGGACACACCCAGCUGAAGGGGCGGUGGUAUUGUCCUGCCUCAGGAAUGACCCUGGAAGAGUGGAGGAAUAGUGUGUAGUUGCUGUCUUUCUGUCUGUCUGUCUCUGUUGUUUGUCUCUGUCUCUCUGUCUUGUUCGUCUGUCGUUAAAAUAAAGUUUAAUAAUUGUAUUUGAG